rnacentral:rRNA from 1 species
AGUGAACGCUGGCGGCGUGCCUAAUACAUGCAAGUCGAACGGAGAUUCAGUAGCUUGCUAUUUAAUCUUAGUGGCGCACGGGUGAGUAAUAUAUAGCUAACUUGCCCAUUACUAAGGGACAACAGUUGGAAACGACUGCUAAUACCUUAUACUCCGUAUCUAUAUAAGUAGAUACGGGAAAGUUUUUCGGUAAUGGAUAGGGCUAUAUCGUAUCAGCUAGUUGGUAAGGUAAUGGCUAACCAAGGCUAUGACGCGUAACUGGUCUGAGAGGAUGAUCAGUCACACAGGAACAGAGACACGGUCCAGACUCCGACGGGAGGCAGCAGGAGGGAAGAUUGCUCAAUGGGGGAAACCCGGAGGCAGCAACGGCGCGUGGAGGAUGACACUUUUCGGAGCGUAGACUCCUUUUCUUGGGAAAGAAUUAUGACGGUACCCAAGGAAUAAGCACCGGCUAACUCCGUG